UGGGGAAUAUUGCACAAUGGGCGCAAGCCUGAUGCAGCAACGCCGCGUGAAUGAAGAAGGUCUUCGGAUCGUAAAGUUCUUUUCUUAGGGAAGAAACCAUGACGGUACCUAAGGAAUAAGCACCGGCUAACUACGUGCCAGCAGCCGCGGUAAUACGUAGGGUGCAAGCGUUAUCCGGAAUCACUGGGCGUAAAGGGUGCGUAGGCGGUCUGACAAGUCAGGAGUGAAAGGCAGUGGCUCAACCAUUGUAAGCUUUUGAAACUGUCGGACUUGAAUGCAGGAGGGGCAAGUGGAAUUCCUAGUGUAGCGGUGAAAUGCGUAGAUAUUAGGAGGAACACCAGUGGCGAAGGCGACUUGCUGGACUGUAAUUGACGCUGAGGCACGAAAGCGUGGGGAGCAA
rnacentral:rRNA from 1 species